AGCAGCAGUUUUUCCGUCUGAAACUCAAACAUGCUCUGGACUUGAAGGAACUCAAAGGUCAAAAUUUGCACGCAGCUGUGAGGGUACCUCCACCUGAUCCGGAAUGCCCAACCCCAUCUGUGCACACCACCCCACCCUCCUCCCAGCAUGCCUCCAACACCCAGAUCAAGUCAAAGAGGCAGCAGCGGAGCUCCGCCUGUGAGCUUAGAUCCCUCGUCGAAGAGAUCCGGGGAGUGAUUUCAGAGAACCACAGACCACACACCGUUAACGGCACCGCUGGCAGCGGCUUCCACAGAAGGAGGUCUGCACCGGAGAGAGUGGACAGAACUGCAUUCAGCACUGACCAGGCUGAAGGAGUGAAAGCUGAGUCCAGACAGAGGAGGAGAACCUGUGACAGGUAGGAAGAGUGACCACACCUAUUUAACUAUUAACUUGCCUUCAGGCUCUAAGAUGGUCACAUCAUUUA
rnacentral:lncRNA from 1 species